UACGUAGGGUGCAAGCGUUAAUCGGAAUUACUGGGCGUAAGCGUGCGCAGGCGGUUGUGCAAGACCGGAUGUGAAAUCCCCGGGCUUAACCUGGGAAUGGCAUUGGUCGACGUGCACGGCUAGGAGUGUGUCAGAGGGGGUAGAAUUCCACGUGUAGCAGUGAAAUGCGUAGAGAUGUGGAGGAAUACCGAUGGCGAAGGCA
rnacentral:rRNA from 1 species